rnacentral:rRNA from 1 species
AGUGAGGAAUCUUGCGCAAUGGAGGAAACUCUGACGCAGCCACGCCGCGUGCCGGAAGACGGCCCUAUGGGUUGUAAACGGCUUUUGUUCGGGAAGAAAGUACGGGUUUUGAUCUGUAUUGACGGUACCGAUUGAAUAAGCACCGGCUAACUCCGUGCCAGCAGCCGCGGUAAUACGGAGGGUGCAAGCGUUGUCCGGAAUCAUUGGGUGUAAAGGGUGCGUAGGCUGGUGUCUAAGUCUGGGGUGAAAUUUUGCCGCUUAACGGUAACAUGGCCUUGGAUACUGGAUGCCUUGAAUCUGACAGAGGUCGGUGGAAUUCGUAGUGUAGCGGUGAAAUGCAUAGAUAUUACGAAGAACACCAGUGGCGAAGGCGGCCGGCUGGGUCAGUAUUGACGCUGAGGCACGAGAGCGUGGGGAGCGAACAGGAUUAGAUACCCUGGUAGUCCACGCUGUAAACGAUGUAUGCUAGUUGUUGGGCCUUCGGGUUCAGUGACGCAGUUAACGCAGUAAGCAUACCACCUGGGGAGUACGUUCGCAAGAAUG